GUUGACAGAACAGAGGUGAUUCGCACCUGCAUAAACCCAGUGUAUUCAAAACUGUUCACUGUGGACUUUUACUUUGAAGAGGUGCAGCGUCUGCGGUUUGAAGUUCAUGACAUCAGCAGCAACCACAAUGGGCUGAAGGAGGCCGACUUCCUGGGUGGCAUGGAGUGCACACUUGGCCAGAUUGUUUCCCAGAGAAAACUGUCUAAAUCCUUGUUGAAGCAUGGAAACACAGCAGGGAAAUCCUCCAUCACGGUGAUUGCAGAAGAAUUAUCUGGCAAUGAUGACUACGUUGAACUUGCAUUCAAUGCACGGAAAUUGGAUGACAAGG